AGCAGCAGUGCAGACAACAGAGGAGGAGCCAAAAUGGCGACCGGUUAACAGCUCAAUUCACAAGCUCCUGCCCCAAAACGGGCUUUACUCCCCCUCCCUGGGCAUAUCUUACAGGGGCUUUCCUCCCUCUACCCCAGGGGGAGGAAAAGAACUCGCCAGAGCCCUGCCAGCAAGAGCCCUGUUGACUGUGGAGGUUGCGCAGGAAAGCAGAAGCAAAUGAAAAUCGAUACCUUCCUCUCCCCCACAGAGGAGGCGGGGGGAGUUGCGAACACUGUGUAGGGAUACGUAGGGAUGGCUCAAGGGCACAGUUUGUGAUGAUGUCAUCCACCCCGAUCCAAGAUGGCAGAUCUGUGAACAUUUAAGGCUGAAGUGGGUCAACGUGUGAGGAUGCUAAAUUGGGAGUUCUCAAACUUGGGUCCCGAGAUGUUGUUGGCCUACAACUCCCAUCAUUCACUCCUGAAUAAUUUUUUUCCAGAAGCUACCGUAUACCAAAUCAGACCAUUGGUCCCUCCCACCCAUAUUGUCUAAAGGUCAAUCAGCUAUGUCGUUUUAACCAACUGCAGUAUAUUCCCUCAGCCACGGCUCCAAGCCAGUGUUUGCAAUAGGAGGACGGGUCUGGAAUCCUGAUUAGGGGGACAAAGUGGCCAGGGAAAAGGGCAAUAGCAGAGGGGGAAAUGCAGACAGAGUGGUGAAGGAUGAACCGGUCCUCUGCUUCUUCUCAGCUUUAAAUAGCCUCCUGACACAGAGGAUGAGGGAUAAGAACCUAUCCAACCCCAGCACAGCAUCCCUCCAGUGACUGUUGCUGGUGUCUACCUUGUGUUUCUUUUUAGACUGUGAGCCCUUUGGGGACAGGGAAGCAUCUUUAUUAUUUAUUUUUCUAUGUGAA